rnacentral:rRNA from 1 species
AUUGAACGCUGGCGGCAGGCUUAACGCAUGCAAGUCGAGCGGAGAUGAGGUGCUUGCACCUUAUCUUAGCGGCGGACGGGUGAGUAAUGCUUAGGAAUCUGCCUAUUAGUGGGGGACAACAUUCCGAAAGGAAUGCUAAUACCGCAUACGCCCUACGGGGGAAAGCAGGGGAUCUUCGGACCUUGCGCUAAUAGAUGAGCCUAAGUCGGAUUAGCUAGUUGGUGGGGUAAAGGCCUACCAAGGCGACGAUAUGUAGCGGGUCUGAGAGGAUGAUCCGCCACACUGGGACUGAGACACGGCCCAGACUCCUACGGGAGGCAGCAGUGGGGAAUAUUGGACAAUGGGCGGAAGCCUGAUCCAGCCAUGCCGCGUGUGUGAAGAAGGCCUUUUGGUUGUAAAGCACUUUAAGCGAGGAGGAGGCUACCUGGAUUAAUACUCUAGGAUAGUGGACGUUACUCGCAGAAUAAGCACCGGCUAACUCUGUGCCAGCCGCCGCAGUAAUAC